rnacentral:rRNA from 1 species
GUGGGGAAUAUUGGACAAUGGGCGAAAGCCUGAUCCAGCCAUGCCGCGUGUGUGAAGAAGGUCUUCGGAUUGUAAAGCACUUUAAGUUGGGAGGAAGGGCAGUAAGUUAAUACCUUGCUGUUUUGACGUUACCGACAGAAUAAGCACCGGCUAACUUCGUGCCAGCAGCCGCGGUAAUACGAAGGGUGCAAGCGUUAAUCGGAAUUACUGGGCGUAAAGCGCGCGUAGGUGGUUUUGUAAGUUGGAGGUGAAAUCCCCGUGCUCAACCUGGGAACUGCCUCCAAAACUGCAUGACUAGAGUACGGUAGAGGGUAGUGGAAUUUCCUGUGUAGCGGUGAAAUGCGUAGAUAUAGGAAGGAACACCAGUGGCGAAGGCGACUACCUGGACUGAUACUGACACUGAGGUGCGAAAGCGUGGGGAGCAAACAGGAUUAGAUACCCCUGUAGUCC